rnacentral:rRNA from 1 species
UACAGAGGUCUCGAGCGUUAGGCGGAAUCACUGGGCUUAAAGCGUGUGUAGGCGGAUUGGUAAGUACCUUGUGAAAUCCCACGGCUCAACCGUGGAACUGCUCGGUAUACUGCCUGUCUUGUGCAACCUAGGGGCGAGCGGAACAGAUGGUGGAGCGGUGAAAUGCGUAGAUAUCGAGAGGAACACCUGCGGCGAAGGCGGGUUGCUGGGCCGACACUGACGCUGAUGCGCGAAAGCCAGGGGAGCGAACGGG